rnacentral:rRNA from 1 species
UACGGGGGGGGGCAAGCGUUGUCCGGAAUUAUUGGGCGUAAAGAGCUCGUAGGCGGUUCCGUAAGUCAGAUGUGAAAACUCAGGGCUCAACCCCGAGACGCCAUUCGAUACUGCUGUGGCUUGAGUCUGGUAGGGGAACACGGAAUUCCUGGUGUAGCGGUGGAAUGCGCAGAUAUCAGGAGGAACACCGAUGGCGAAGGCAGUGUUCUGGGCCAGUACUGACGCUGAGGAGCGAAAGCGUGGGGAGCGAACAGG